AGAAUAGGAAAGCUGUUUCCAUUACUGAAAGCCCAGGGACAUGGACUGGUUUUAGAGCCAAUGGGAAUGUUGAUCCAGAAGAAGACAGUCUACAGGGAGAAGUAAAAAUGAGGAUGCUGGUUGAGGCUCUAUAGCACCCUCCUGAGGCUCCACAGCACCCUCUUGAAGACCUACAGCACCUUCUCAAGGAUCUACGGCCCCCUCUGGAGGCUCUGUUGCAGCCUUUUGGGGAUCUAUAGCACCUACUUGCCACUUUUCCUGGCUCCCCAGGGCUUCCUCCCAGUGCCUAUUCUCUGCUCUCUUUGCUGGUUUCCAACUGCCAUUAAUUCUAAUACAUGCCCUUCCCUAACGUGUUUACCUGGGGAAGAAUCUAAUUAAUUAAUUCUCACUAGGUAUGAUUAAUUUAUUAGAAUCCUAAAAAGUUGUGCAUUUUAACAGGAAUUUCCUUCACCCAAAGGGUUGUUAGAGGUGGGACGGACCUUAAAAGUAAAAGCGAUUGAAGCCAAGUCUCUCCUCCUCCCUCC
rnacentral:lncRNA from 1 species